AUGCUUGAAAAACAAAUUAAAGCAACCAAACCAUCCUAAAAAAAAUAACAAACCCAAAAAGAAAACAACAUCUAUAAAGACCAAAACAAACAACAACAAAAAUAAAUGCCAGCUAAGCCCCUCUUUAGAUAUCCCCAAUGCUUAGCUUAAUCCGAAACGAAUCUCUUCCUCUCCCUUAGGUAAUCAAGCAAACAAUCAGAAUCCCAAGACUCCUCAUUGCACACAUUUCAUCUUCUAAAAAAAUUCUUGAACCUUCAACAAUUCUAUGGCAGAUCCUUCCUUCUAUCAUCCUCCGCCGCUACUUCUGAUUUCGAUACUCUUCCUUCCAGGCAUCGCCCUCGAUCACUACCUGCCAAUAUCCAAGAUCCAGCCCUUUCUGAACUGCCUGCAGACAAGCCAACGCCUCAACUGCAAACAAGGUUAGAGCGAGCAUAUUGACCAUUGUCUUUGACCCCAAAAUAACCCCCUUUAAAUCCCGACUGACAAUACCUAUACCAAAUAUGUUUGACUAUUUCUGAAAAGUGGUGUCAAAGUUUAUUUUAACCUCAAAUAAGUCCAACAGUCUCGAUCGCUCCUUUAUCUUUCGCCUAGGUAUUUUAUUGUUUACCCUAUCUUAGUUGUUAAGAUAUGCCUUAGUAAACUGUAUAGUUUCUAAUGUUAUUUGAUGAAAUCCCUUAUGCGAGGCCUUAUUCUGUCCCGUCCAUAUGGCCCAAAUGUUAUAGAAGAUAAGCUUUCUUUGAUGGAACGAGCUUCUGGUAAGUACUUCCCCUAUCCACUGCUGAAAACUUUCUCCCAUUACCCCCUGACUUCUUAGAACUUCUAGCUCACCCCAAACUACUUUAAUUACAGGGAAAUCUCUAAACGCAUGUUCCAACAUCUCUACUACACUUUUAAACCUUUGAAACACAUCUGAGUUGCACACCCAUCUAAAUUUCAAGUUGCUAAAAGUCGGAAUAUAAUUUUUGUAAACCCUCAAAUUUGUAAUUUUGAUUUUCGUUGACAAGUUUGUUUGCCAUAGGCUUUUUAGGACAGCUUUGUUUAUAAUGUCAAUAGUAUCGACAUCUAGGCCAAAUGUAUCUUUCAAUAGCCUUAUGUCGCUCUUCAUCGUAUACUUUCCCGUUGGCUCCCCACUCCAUACUCUACGAUCAUUUCUCAAAUCUCUUGCUAGAGGAAUUUGUAAGAUAGCUUCUGUCUUUUCCCUUGUAAAUAAAAAGGGAUACAAACAUCCUGCUAGAUGGAUAUACAAUUACUCCUACCCACUCUUCAAGGCAUUCCAUCAUUCAAUAGUUUCUUCAUCGCCUAUACACUUCUCCAAGUAUAAGAAGGAGAGAUGACAGCCAAGCAUCACUCCCCGGUUACUCAGCCCAACAUACUCCUAAUUCAUUAUUUUUUUUGAAGAACAUAUCGAACCUUUUGACGUGAAGAGGGAUGACAGCGAAGCACCCUACCUCGGUUAAGCGAAGCACCCUACCUCGGUUACUUAGUCCAACAUGUUCUUAAAAAAAUUUAUUUAAUUCUGAUUAGCGGAGUUACCUAACACGUCACACAACCUUUUGACGCGAAAUAGGAUGACAACCCAAGCACCCUACCCUGGUUACUUAGUCAGUCACGUUUUAAGCUGUAUUCAUAACCACGGAAGCAUCACAAUUUAUUAUAAUGAAACAAAAUUUUAAUUUGGAGGACUAGGAAAAACAAUCAAGUGUAAAAAAUAAGUUUCGGCAACUACUUAAUAGUCAUGAACAAAAAUUCAGCAUGCAAUUUUCACUAACUGUCCUCUUUACAUUUAGACUUGAUCGAUUUUACUAUAAGCAAGAUAGGGUUAACUCUAUUAAUCAUAAUUAUUUAGCCUAAAAGAAAUAAAACAGUGGAGAUAAAAUCAAAUAAGUAAAAUCAUAACUAACUCAGUAGACAAGAAUCAUGCAUGUAGCUCAAAUAGUGGGCGAGUAAUGGUCAAAUUAUUGAGUAUGAAAAGAGGCAGAAUAUUGUAAAAAAAUAAAUAUGGGCAACAAUAACAAAAACAACAUAUAAAAUGACAGAAAUAAUGAGGAAUGCCUCCUUCUACUUAAAACACAUUGUCCUCAAUGUGGAAUAAAAUAAAUAAAUAUGUGGAAGAAGAAAAGUUCAGAAGAACUCCCCAUGUAGUUACUGUAAUAAAUAAAUAUGUGGAAGAAGAAAAGUUCAGAAGAACUCCUCAUGUAGUUACUGUCAUUCACGCAAAGCAGCAAUAAGAUCUGCCAUCUGUUGGCCAAGGGUGUCGAGUAGUGCCUCGAUGCGCUCUAAACAUUGCUCGAUAGUCAUGGGAGGUCGUUCUUGAUUGGGUACGUCGUGUUGAUUUUGUUGUCGAAAGAUUCGUUCAGCCUGCGAAGAGCGGACACCUGGAGGGACAAAAUGAAAGGAAGAAGGGGUGCUAAGAAGCAAUCCAAUCGAGUCGAGGCAGUGAGCAUCUAAUGGAUCGGCUUGGCAAGCAACAUGUAAGUCUGAAAUAUGAGCAUUAGAUCCAUGUAAAAAAAAUAACAGUUGUGUAAUAAAAGAGCCUAAAAUUAGAAAA